UUUCACUGACUGUAACGUUUUAAGCUGAUAUGAUAAAAUCUUGCUCUAAUGGAAAACCAAUUAAAAAGCAGACCUGGGAGCAGCAAUACCAACUUGUCACCCAACACUGCUCUCCUUGAGUAGGGCAAGAACUUCUGUUGGAAAGUUGGAGGAAGAAGUUGAUCCCACAGUACAACAAGUUUGGCACAUCCCAUUGCCUUGAGAUGGUGUUUUCCCUGGAACGUCCGAAGACACCUAAAGGUCUACACUGGAGGCAUUAUGUCAUGAGAAAUAUCAGAGAUAAGAAAUCCUGAAAAAUCAUCAUUUGUAUGCAAGCUGACAUGUUUCAACAGCAUGGACAGGGAUUAAAAGGUUGCAGUUUUUUAAAUUUGUUGUUGUUGUGUUGGGGUUUGGGGUUAUUAUAUUUUUAAAUUUUAAAUACAAUUUGGAAACAGAUGAGUGCUUAACAUCUUGAGACCAAACAUAUGUUAGUGUGAAGUAGCAAACUUGUGUGUUUGUUGCCCAUUCCAUGACUACAAGCCAGAAAUAUUUUGACAUCACUAGUUAAAGUUUGAUAAAAGGUAAUUAUUGGCAUUGAAUCACCCAAGAUGUUUGCUAUGUUGGCUGCCUUUCAGUCCAUCCCACUGAAUGUUGCAGUGCUUUCCAGUCAGACAUUAGAGACCAUUUCAUGGAUGCUUACAGCAACCUGUCAAAGUUUCCUGCCACCGUAUGUGCACUGACUCCAUAAAUCCCAGAGUAUUUAUUGCUGGGGCUGUCAUUUUCUUCUUAGAAAAACA